rnacentral:rRNA from 1 species
AGCGAACGUUAGCGGCAGGCUUAACACAUGCAAGUCGAGCGAGAAAGAGGGCUUCGGCCCUCGAGUACAGCGGCGUACGGGUGAGUAACACGUGGAUAAUCUGCCCUCCGGUGGGGGACAACAACCCGAAAGGGUUGCUAAUACCGCAUUCGUCGGCCAGCUCUGCGGAGCAGGUCGGGAAAGGUGCCCUCUACUUGUAAGGUACCGCCGGAGGAGGAGUCCGCGUCCCAUCAGCUAGUUGGAGGGUAAUGGCCUACCAAGGCAAAGACGGGUAGCUGGUCUGAGAGGAUGAUCAGCCACACUGGGACUGAGACACGGCCCAGACUCCUACGGGAGGCAGCAGUGGGGAAUAUUGGACAAUGGGCGCAAGCCUGAUCCAGCCAUGCCGCG